rnacentral:rRNA from 1 species
UACAGAGGGGGCUAGCGUUGUUCGGAAUUACUGGGCGUAAAGGGCGCGUAGGCGGCCCGCUAAGUCGAACGUGAAAUCCCCGAGCUCAACUCGGGAACUGCGUCCGAUACUGGCGGGCUUGAAUCCGGGAGAGGGAUGCGGAAUUCCAGGUGUAGCGGUGAAAUGCGUAGAUAUCUGGAGGAACACCGGUGGCGAAGGCGGCAUCCUGGACCGGCAUUGACGCUGAGGCGCGAAAGCUAGGGGAGCAAACGGG